rnacentral:rRNA from 1 species
CCCUUAGAUGUCCUGGGCCGCACGCGCGCUACACUGAUGCAUUCAACGAGUUCACCUUGGCCGAGAGGCCUGGGCAAUCUUUUGAACGUGCAUCGUGAUAGGGAUAGAUUAUUGAAAUUUUUAAUCUUGAACGAGGAAUUCCUAGUAAACGCAGAUCAUCAAUCUGCAUUGAUUACGUCCCUGCCCUUUGUACACACCGCCCGUCGCACCUACCGAUUGAAUGGUCCGGUGAAGCCUCGGGAUUGUGGCCAGUUCCCUUUAUUGGGAGUUGGUUGCGAGAACUUGUCUAAACCUUAUCAUUUAGAGGAAGGUGAAGUCGUANCA